rnacentral:tRNA from 1 species
GCGGUCGUGGCUGGUAGACGCGCAGCGUUGAGGUCGCUGUUCCUUAACCGGAGUGGAAGUUCGAGUCUUCUCGACCGCACCA